rnacentral:rRNA from 1 species
UACGUAGGGGGCAAGCGUUGUCCGGAUUUAUUGGGCGUAAAGAGCGUGUAGGCGGUUAGGUAGGUCCGUUGUGAAAACUCGAGGCUCAACCUCGAGACGCCGAUGGAAACCAUCUGACUAGAGUCCGGAAGAGGAGAGUGGAAUUCCUGGUGUAGCGGUGAAAUGCGCAGAUAUCAGGAGGAACACCUACUGCGAAGGCAGCUCGCUGGGACGUUACUGACGCUGAGACGCGAAAGCGUGGGGAGCAAACAGG